AACGAACGCUGGCGGCAGGCCUAACACAUGCAAGUCGAGCGAGGACUUCGGUCCUAGCGGCGGACGGGUGAGUAACGCGUGGGAACGUGCCCUUUGCUUCGGAAUAGCCCUGGGAAACUGGGAGUAAUACCGGAUGAGCCCUUUGGGGGAAAGAUUUAUCGGCGAAGGAUCGGCCCGCGUUGGAUUAGGUAGUUGGUGGGGUAAUGGCCUACCAAGCCGACGAUCCAUAGCUGGUUUGAGAGGAUGAUCAGCCACACUGGGACUGAGACACGGCCCAGACUCCUACGGGAGGCAGCAGUGGGGAAUCUUAGACAAUGGGGGAAACCCUGAUCUAGCCAUGCCGCGUGAGCGAUGAAGGCCUUAGGGUUGUAAAGCUCUUUCAGCUGGGAAGAUAAUGACGGUACCAGCAGAAGAAGCCCCGGCUAACGCCG
rnacentral:rRNA from 1 species